rnacentral:rRNA from 1 species
GACGAACGCUGGCGGCGUGCCUAAUACAUGCAAGUCGAACGCAGUGGGGACGGGUGAGUAACACGUGGGUAACCUCCCAUCAGAGGGGAUAACACUUGGAAACAGGUGCUAAACCGAUACUGAUGGAUGGACCCGCUGUGCAUUAGCGAGUUGGUGGGGUAACGGCUAACCAAGGCCACGAUGCAUAGCUGGCCUGAGAGGGUGAUCAGCCACACUGGGACUGAGACACGGCCCAGACUCCUACGGGAUGCAGCAGUGGGGAAUCGUCGACAAUGGACGAAAGCCUGACCCAGCAACGCCGCGUGAGUGAAGAAGGUUUUCGGGUCGUAAAGCACUGUUAUUAGGGAAGCGUUAUCUACCUAGAAAGCCACGGCUAACUACGUGCCAGCAGCCGCGGUAAUAC